AAUUCCCACUUGGCUUCUCUCCAAGAUCCACGGCACGAAAAGCCAUUGUUAUUAGAAUUAAACUACGGGAAC